rnacentral:rRNA from 1 species
CAGUCGCCACGGUAAUACGAAGGGGGCUAGCGUUGUUCGGAUUUACUGGGCGUAAAGCGCACGUAGGCGGAUUCUUAAGUCAGAGGUGAAAUCCCAAGGCUCAACCUUGGAACUGCCUUUGAUACUGGGGAUCUUGAGUCCGGGAGAGGUGAGUGGAACUGCGAGUGUAGAGGUGAAAUUCGUAGAUAUUCGCAAGAACACCAGUGGCGAAGGCGGCUCACUGGCCCGGUACUGACGCUGAGGUGCGAAAGCGUGGGGAGCAGACAGGAUUAGAUACCCGCGUAGUCCCUGUCUCUUAUAC